CGCACAUUGCGCCCCUUGGUAUUCCGGGGGGCAUGCCUGUUCGAGCGUCAUUUCAACCCUCAAGCACUGCUUGGUAUUGGGCUUUCAUCAGUAACAUGAUGGGCCUCAAAGUCAGUGGCGGCGCCGCUGGGUCCCGAACGUAGUAAUAUAUUUCGUUACGGGUGCCUCGCGUGCUUCUGCCAUUAAACCCCAACUUUCUAAGUUUGACCUCGGAUCAGGUAGGGAUACCCGCUGAACUUAA
rnacentral:misc_RNA from 1 species